rnacentral:rRNA from 1 species
CCUACGGGGGGCAGCAGUGGGGAAUAUUGGACAAUGGGGGGAACCCUGAUCCAGCGACGCCGCGUGAGUGAAGAAGUAUUUCGGUAUGUAAAGCUCUAUCAGCAGGGAAGAAAGAAAUGACGGUACCUGACUAAGAAGCCCCGGCUAACUACGUGCCAGCAGCCGCGGUACUACGUAGGGGGCAAGCGUUAUCCGGAUUUACUGGGGGUAAAGGGAGCGUAGACGGCGAUGCAAGUCUGAAGUGAAAGGCGGGGGCCCAACCUCCGGACUGCUUUGGAAACUGUAUGGCUGGAGUGCAGGAGAGGUAAGUGGAAUUCCUAGUGUAGCGGUGAAAUGCGUAGAUAUUAGGAGGAACACCAGUGGCGAAGGCGGCUUACUGGACUGUAACUGACGUUGAGGCUCGAAAGCGUGGGGAGCAAACAGGAUUAGAUACCCCAGUAGUC